rnacentral:lncRNA from 1 species
AGCCCACUUCCUCCUCCAAAAUAGUCUAGGCCCAAAAUUACUCGCAUCAAACUUGGCCCAAACUCCUAUUGGUCCAAUAACUCCUAGCCCCAAUUAACCCCUUAGCUAAUAAUCCCCAAAUCCUCUUUCCAACUUUUGUCCAAAGACAACCCGUCGGCAAUCCUCACCGGCAAACUACCACCUAUUUCUUCCUUAAUUUGUUACUUUAUUUUUCUUAAAUAUUUUUUAUUUUCCUUUCCUUUUUCCUGUUGUAAUUUCUUUCCUUUUUCCUAUGGUAAUUCAUUUCCUUUCUUUGUAAUUUCUUGCCUUAAUGAUUCUUCAUCAUCAGAGUCCUAAAUUGAAUUGUGAAUAGGCCGAGAUUUUAGCUCUAUUUUUAGUUCAAAUUGAUAUUACACUGGAAGAUUUGAACGCUCCUCCUUCUAUUAGAUGAAUCUAGACAAGUGUUGAGGUAAGUGCUUCCUCUAUUCUUCCUCUUCUCCUAUUAAUUUGAUUUUAAUGUUAAUUUUGGAAGUAAUCGCCAUACUUUUCUUCUUCUAUUUUGAUACUCUAAUUUCGCCCCAACCCCCGAAUCCCUUGUCAACCGGAUCUUAUUUUUUAAAAAUUUCAAAACUUUCCUUUAUUUGAUACAUGCCCUAAGUCUAAAUCAGUACUAUAAAUACCACUAGUUUUAUACACUAGGGACACUUUUUUUCCCACUGCUUUUACCCCUGCCUCACUGCUACUACAGUUUCUUUUCCUUUCGCUACUUCUAUGCUUUGCCGGCCAUAAGCCAAGGCAAAGCUUGGUUUUUUUAAUCGUUCGAUAUAAUCUGGACGUAUCGAGUUUGAGUAUUGGUUUCUCAUUAUUGUUGUUCAAAUUUUUGCACGUAUUAUUAUGUACUUUGGAGGGUAUCUGUCUUAUUUAUUGCUGUUGAAGUUACUGAAUUUAUAAUCUUCUUAUUAUAUCGUUAUUCCACUCUCCAACUGGUUAAUUCCUUGAACGAUGCAUUAUAAUUUCUUUAUGUGUUAGUUGUUUGGAAGAAUAGACUAGUUGUUUGUUCUUUGCUCUCUUAAAUUUUCAUCCAUUUGCGCGCUUUAUUUACACUUGGCUAUGCCGAAUGCCGUGCGACCUUCUAUUGAAAGCAUGCUAAGUUUAAAUGCCCAGUUGCGUCCUUUAAACCUUUUUAUGUGCUUAAUACUGUUUGUGUUGUAAUUUUGGUGCGACUUGACUAUAAAAUUAUAACCAGUUUGACCCGUUUGGAUCAUUCUUUCAACUAGAGAUCAUGAUUUAGACGUAACUAAAUAGAUAAUAGUUUCGUGUAUGUGCAAAUUGUUUUUCGGCUAAACUUUAGUCUAUAUUUGAGUUUCUGCCUUUCACUUAGAAUACUAUGUCCUUAAGACAAAAAGGAUUAAUCUGAUGUUUCUACCUAAAUGAUACAUGCUUGUUCCAUGUGAUUUAAACUACCAUAAUGUGUUCACAUAAUUAUUAUAUCAUUAGGAUACGAAUCACUAUAUACCAGUGUUCAUGUUAGAAAUAAUGACUCUCAAUGUUAAAUUCCAUGUUUAAAUGAGAUAAAUCAUGAUUCUGCCAAAAUUUUGCUCAGCACCUUUAUGUUUGCUAUGAACUCUUACCAUCUGAAGAUGUAUAGCUAAGCCUAGAUAUUGUGUUACUAGGAUACAUAUUCAUCCUAAUGUCAUGUCUUAUGUACUUUAUUAAUGCUUUUGAAAAUCAAGAAGUACGAGUUGAUAUUGUAUUGGUGUCCUAUAGUUGGUUUAAGCUUAAUUUCAUUAUCUUGCUUUUUAAGGAAUAAUCAAUUAAGAAUUUGAUUUCUAUGAUAAAUAUGUCUUCGUUGCCUAUUUCCUUUGCUAUGUUGUGUCUUUAUGUGAUUGGGAUUUGCAGGGGUUUUAAGUUAAGAAAUUUAGUCCAGAAUUGGACUCUUGAGCCAAGAUGAAGUUGCUUGGGAUUCUUAGAAAGGAAGUUUAAGAGUUACCCGUAUUGGAGUCCACUUAAAGACUGAACCUCUUCUAGCUUCAUUUUUUCUAUGUUGUAUUGUUGGCCUUGUAAUUUAGAAGAGGAUUGAGGGGUGGGAUACUUUAUUCUCGCAUGAAUGCAUAGAAAACAUGCCUAUAGUGUCUAUAUGCUUUGUUUGUUACUUUAUUUGACAUGCUCUGUUUUUAUACACCGAUAGAAAGCAUGCCUAUAGGAACUUACACACUUCAUUUUCUUUACAUGUCAUAUUUCCGUACACGGAUAGAAAGCAUGCCUAAAAGAACUUAAGUGUUUCACUCGUUCACAUGCUUCACUUCUACACGAUAUUAGAUAGCAUGCCUAUAAGAUUCAAACAUUAUUGAUUAUUUGCUUAACGUGUGCUAUUGCUGUGUGAUUGCUAGAUAACAUGCCUAUAGGACCAUAAUUGAUGAAUCAGUUACUGUUACUGUUAUUUCUAUCACGUUGCUCGCCUAGAAAGCAUGCCUAUAGGAAUGAAGUGUUAUAGAACCAGUUUCAAUUACCAACUUUUAGAAAUGCUGCCUAUAGGAUGUUGUUACUCGCCUAGAAGGUAUGUCAAUAAAAUCAAACGCAGGUAAUUUUAAGCUUUCAAACGGUUUAUUGCCUCGUUGCGCAAACAAUUUAGAGAUCAUGCCUAUAGGAUUUAUAAUACAUAUAAUCUGCAAAUUCGUUGUUAUGAAACAACAACACUACCUGUACGCUUAAAAAAUAAAAAAAAAUCACAUAGAAGCCAUGUCUAUAGGGCUCAAAUGGCUUUAAUUUGCCUCAAUUCUGAAACUGUCUAACGUCUAAUCUUAGAAUUUAUUUGUGUGCAUUUGUUGUCUAAUUGUGGAGGCUAACUUGAGCCCUUAAUUGCCUUUACACGAAGUCCAACUUGUUUUGUAUGUUCCCUAGUUUUAUCAUUCUGAGCAACCUAAGAAAAGUCUAGAACCACCCUAAAUAGAGGUCCAAUGCCUCCUGGACCAUAGGUAUGGGAUGAGUAUUGCACAUAUAGAGCACGACUUAGAAUUGAAUUAAUGCGCUUCAGGUAAACAACUUUAACAUUGUAAUCGGGUAGUAGGAGAUGAUAGUCUGUGCCCGUUGAAUAAUAUGAGUAACUUCCUAUCUCAAGGGAGUUGCGAAGUAUUAUUUAUGUUGCACGGGGUGAUCCUUUAGGCUAAAAAACUUAGGACCACCCCUCCCCCUCUUUUAUAUGUUGUUAUUAGAUCCAAAUAGUUGUAUCCCUAUAUUCGUACUAAAAUCUGUACUAAUCAUGUUGUAAUGAAAUUCUUUAACCUUUACAUUCGCUUUGUUUAUUUGAUCACUUAGCCUAAUUUUAAUCCACAUAAUCUUAAGUUCGCCCGGGACCCACAGUUGUGGACCUCGAAGAGUGCCUAACACCUUCUCUUUGAGGUAAUUUGAGCCCUUACCCGAUAUUUGGUGACAUUGACUAGUCAAACAGAGUCAUUUGCAUAAUAGGUGCCCUAACACACCUUAAAAACCGUUAGGUGGCGACUCUUCUCUUUUAAUACCUAUCCUCCAUUUAAAAUAGUUAUCACAUGUUGAAAUCCGCUUUCGCGAGAAAACGGGGCGCGACAUCUCUCUCAGCAAGAUUCUCAAUCAUCUCUUUUCUCCCUCAAAUCUCUCUCCCUUUUCCAUCAAGGCAGCCAUCAUAGAAGCUGAUGUUUGGCUAUAAUUCCAUAUUUUUAGUGCAUUAUUUACCUUAUAUUUUGGGGUUUUAAUGCCAAAAUAUACUAUAUUUGUGCUUAAUUGAGUUAUUUUAUGUGUAGGUACGUUGAAGACGAAAUUGAGAGCAAAGUAGAGAUUUUAUGUAUAUUUUAUACACUACAAGAAUGGUGCAUGAUCAUUUAUUGAUUGAAAAUAUUAGAAUGAUAUUAUGGAGCAAUGAUUGAAGAGACAAAUACAAAAGAAGACAAAAGUCAAUUGAAAAAAGAAAAAAAAAACGUGAAUUUGUAAAGUCAGGCAGCAAAUCAACAAAGAGAAACGAAGCAGCAAUGACUGGCAAGGCGAGGGAAUUGUUGCGCGACAGAGCUCGCGUUGCCAGGGUUGGAGUGAGGUGGAGCACGCUAUAGAGGUCGUGGCGCGAGGCCUGUCGCGAGGUGUUCGCGUGUUCCGGGUUUCAGGCCUAUUUUGUCUCCUAUUUGGUUUUGGAUUUGGUUAUUUCGUCUAGGUUUUUCCCUACACAUAUAAAUAGUCACUAAACACCAUUUUGAGAGGGGAUUUGACCUAAGGAGGCAAGAACACACUAGGAGCAAGGUAGGGAAUUCUUCAACGAGUUUUUCACUNN